CUUUCCAAGGAGCGUUGCAGCGGGCCGCACGGUCUGCCAGGCUUGGAUACAUCGCAACGACGCUCACCUGAC
rnacentral:ncRNA from 2 species